UUGCCCGUAUUUGCAGCUACUGUGAAACUCAUAAGCAUUUCAAUUAUCUAUACAAGUUUCAGGUAAUCAAGAAGGACUAUGUUGCUGCUGGACUUUGCUGUAUUCAAUUGUUUAUGAAUUCAUUUUCCCAAGAGGAAGCUGUUAAACACUUGGAACAUGCAAAGAUGCACUUUGAUGAAGGACUAUCUGCUCGAUAUAAAGGUGGAGAAUCUACUAAACUUGUCACAAAGGGUGUGAGAGGAAAAAGUGCGUCCGAGAAGCUCACUGAAGAAGGACUUGUCAAGUUUUCUGCUCGAGUAUCAAUCCAGCUGGAAGUUGUGAAAUCCUCAAAUGAUCCAGAUGGGCCACAGUGGAAACAUUCACUUUUUGGAAAUCCAAAUGAUCCAGAAACGUUCAGGAGGAGGUGUGAGAUUGCGGAGAAGCUAGUGGAGAAGAACUUUGAUUUGGCUUUCCAAGUAAUUUAUGAAUUUAAUCUUCCAGCUGUUGAUAUAUAUGCUGGUGUUGCUGCAUCACUAGCUGAGAGGAAAAAAGGCAGCCAGUUGACAGAGUUUUUUAGAAACAUAAAAGGAACCAUAGAUGAUGAUGAUUGGGAUCAGGUCUUGGGGGCUGCAAUAAAUGUG
rnacentral:misc_RNA from 1 species